CGGGCGAGAGACCGAUAGCGA
rnacentral:snRNA from 1 species